rnacentral:lncRNA from 1 species
AUCUUCUUCUGAUAACUGGCUUCUGCCCUCUGCAGCCUCAAGCGCUCCCGGUGUUCUGCAUCUAACAUACUCUCCAUCUCCUUGUAGGAUCUCUUCUUACCUCUUGCUCUGCUAGCAUCUUCUCCUUGUACUUCCCUGAGUUGAUGGGCCAAGUGCAGCUUAUCAGCUUUGGCUUUGUACAACUCCAUCUGAGUGUCUUGCUCCUUCUCUCUCA